UUGGGUGGGGGUUCUGUCUGUCUGUGUCUCAGGGCCUGACGGAGGCAGAACUCUCCUCUCGUCCGGCCAGUCGUCAGGUGUCUAGUGAUGUCACCCAGCUCCACCCUACCUUCUCUCAGAGGUCAAAAGUUCAUUGCUCCCUGAAGGUGAAAAGUCGCGACUCAGGGGUGUUUGAGAAAACCGCCUCUCAGUCCCCCUCUGACCCUGCUUUCUUCUGCCUGCAACACAUCACUACUCUGACAGAGCCAGAGGACAUCUCCAUAUCUGAAGUCAUUGGUUUUACCAUUAUCCUUCCUGCUACUCUGGAAGAUGCCAGAAAGGAAAAGUCUAAAGGCAUAAGUGGGCGUGUCCCUUCCACAUGCCUAAACGACGCGAUCCCUGCCAUCAUCGUCACUUCUAUGGAAAUCCCCUAAAUGGGUGGGGUCUGUUGUGAGAGAACCGCUGGAUGUUGUGCGAUUGGACAGUGUAUGACACAGCUCUGUGUGUCGUUUCUUUCCUCCUCUACAGGGCUCUACACUACCAGCAUGGUAUCUAGUGUCUGUGUGUCGUUUCUCUCCUCCUCUACAGGGCUCUACACUACCAGCAUGGUAUCUAGUGUCUGUGUGUCGUUUCUCUCCUCCUCUAAAGGGCUCUACACUGCCAGCAUGGUAUCUAGUGUCUGUGUGUCGUUUCUCUCCUCCUCUAAAGGGCUCUACACUGCCAGCAUGGUAUCUAGUGUCUAUGUGUGUAACUGUAUUGCUUCCAUCCCGCUCCUCGCCCCAACUUGGGCUUAAACCAGGGACCCUCUGAACACAUCAUCAACAGUCACCCAAGAAGCAUGGUUACCUAUCGCUCCACAAAAGCUGCUGCUCCUUGCAGAGCAAGGGAAACAACUACUUCAAGGUCUCAGAGCGAGUGACGUCACCGAUUUUAAACACUAGUAGCACGCACUGCUAACUAGCUAGCCAUUUCACACCGGUUACGUGUGUGUGUUUUGUAUUUGUGGAUUUAGAGACGUUUUCCAUUGAGCUGUAGAAAACACAUCAUCUGAAAACAGUUUCAGUCGGUGACUUUCCUUUUUAUGUUUUUAAACAUGGAGGAUUGUCAAUGUUUUCCUCUCCACAUUCUCUCCCUCCUCCUUUUCCCUCCCUCCUCCCCCACUUUCUCUCUCUCCUCCCUCCUGAAUUUAUUUACACAAAGUGUCUGUAGGCUAUUUCUCUCCUUCUCCCUGAAGAAUACACAGUUUUUCUACCCCUCGUGGAAGUAAAGGCAUUGUGUUGGUAUUAUUAUGGGAUCGAGGGAGUUUUUUUUACAAUAUUCAUUAUUAUUUUUUACCAUUCUACAUUUCAAGGGAGAAUGGCAGAAUGGGUCAUUGUCUAUUGCUUAUCACCAUUUAGACCUGUCACCUAAGU